rnacentral:rRNA from 1 species
UACGGGGGGGGCAAGCGUUGUUCGGAAUUAUUGGGCGUAAAGCGUCUGUAGGUGGCUUUUCAAGUCCGCCGUCAAAUCCCAGGGCUCAACCCUGGACAGGCGGUGGAAACUACCAAGCUGGAGUACGGUAGGUGCAGAGGGAAUUUCCGGUGGAGCGGUGAAAUGCGUAGAGAUCGGAAAGAACACCAACGGCGAAAGCACUCUGCUGGGCCGACACUGACACUGAGAGACGAAAGCUAGGGGAGCGAAUGGG